ACCACACUAAAACCCUUUCGUCUGGAACGAUCAAAAUUUUGCGGAGGGAAGGAGCGCGAGUCUUACAAUCCGGCUGAAGGCCCCGUCCCCGUGCGGGGCGUCGAGGACGCGGACGCGGGCGCGGGUCUCGUCGCAGAGGCGCUUGAUGGUGUCGCCGCGGCGCCCGAUGAUUCCGCCGACCUUGUCCGCGGGCACCACCAGGCGGAACACGCUCGCGCCAGGCCACCCGGGCCACCGCGGCCUCGCAUCCUCCCCCUCGCCCUUCUUCGUCGCCUCCACCGCCGUGACCGGAGCCGGCUGCUGCUCCGGCUCAGCCCAAGCGGGGGCGGGGGAUGGGGUCGGCGCCGGGUGCUUCGGCUCUGGCUCUGGUUCUAGCUCCGGCUCCGAGCCGGAGGACGUGAACCACGGCUCCACCUCCUCCGGGUCCUCCUCCUCGUCGAAGUCGAUCUCGGUCUCCUCCUCCUCCUCCUCCUCACGCGGCGGCGACCACGCGGGUGGCUCCAUGACGGGUGGGGGUUUCGACUUUCGAGGACGCGGCGGAGCGAAGGGAAGCGAGCGAAGGAAACGCUUCUGUGGGGUUUUCCGGCUGGUUGAGAGCCGGGCCGAACUAUUCGUGUUUGUGGGUUGGCCGUUGGCGUUGGGUGUAGAAUCAUCGGGCAGCGCGCCGAGCUAUUCGUGUUUGUG
rnacentral:misc_RNA from 1 species